UGAGGAAUAUUGGUCAAUGGGCGAGAGCCUGAACCAGCCAAGUCGCGUGAAGGAAGACUGCCCGCAAGGGUUGUAAACUUCUUUUGUAUGGGAUUAAAGUCACCUACGUGUAGGUGUUUGCAGUUACCAUACGAAUAAGCAUCGGCUAACUCCGUGCCAGCAGCCGCGGUAAUACGGAGGAUGCGAGCGUUAUCCGGAAUUAUUGGGCGUAAAGGGUACGUAGGUGGUUUUUUAAGUCAGGUGUCAAAGCGUGGAGCUUAACUCCAUUAAGCACUUGAAACUGAAAGACUUGAGUGAAGGAGAGGAAAGUGGAAUUCCUAGUGUAGCGAUGAAAUGCGUAGAUAUUAGGAGGAAUACCGGUGGCGAAGGCGACUUACUGGGCUCAUUCUGACGCUGAGGAACGAAAGCGUGGGUAGCAAACAGG
rnacentral:rRNA from 1 species